CGGACAGAUGCCUAUACUGCAAGUCGAGCGAACAGAUUAGAACCUCGUUCUCUCGAGGACUUUAUACGCAGAAGGGUGAGUAACACGUGGGCACCCGCCCUGUAAGAGGGGGAUAACUCCGGGAACCGGGAGCUAACCCCGGAUAACAUUUAUCCCUAUGCGGAUCAAAGAAUUGAAAGAUGCUUUCGGCUAUCACUUACACGAUGGGCCCGCCGUGCAUUAGUAGUUUGGUGAAGUACAGGGCGCACACAAGGAAACGAUGCAUACCCCACCCGUGAGAGGGUGAUCCGGCCACCACUGGGAGUGAGAACACGCCCCGACACCCCUACGGGAGGCAGCCACUAGUGGAAUCUUCUCGCCACAGGACGAAAAUCUGACGGAGCAACACCGCCGUGAGUGAUGAAGGCGUUUCUGGGUCAUAAUAACUCUCUUGUUAGGGAAGAACAAGUGCACGAGAAUAACUGCUUGUACCCUGACAGCACACUAACCAGAAAAACCACGGCUAAAUACGUGCCCGCAGCCCGCGGUAAUACAUGUAGGUGGCAAGCGUUAUCUCGAGAAUUAUUGCGCGUAAAGCGCGCGCACGCGGUGUCUUAACUGAGAUGUGAAACCCCACGGGUCUACACCGUGGAGGCUCACUUGAAAAACUGGGGGAACAUGAGUGCAAAAAAAAAAAAACAAAAACUCCACCCUCCACGCGGUGAAACUGCCCAGAGAUGUUGGAGGAACACCACUGGCGAAGGCGAAGUCUUUUUCGUUCUCUAACUGCACCCUGAGGUCCCGAAAGCGUUGGGGACCAAACACGAGUUAGAUACCCGGGGGUAGUUCCACCCCCAUAUAAAAAAAACCGCUAAGCGCUAGAGGCGUUUGUUCCCCCCUCUACUGUUCUCAGGAAAACUGCACCCCCUCAAACACUACCCCCCCGGGGGGGGGGAGAGUACCCUCGCAAGAGUGAAAAUCAAAGUUGAAGUGACCGCCGAGGCCCGCACAAGCGGUGGAGCACCUCGUGUUGUUGUCCCCCCCAAAAAAAGAUAUAUAAAACAACGCGAAGAACCUUCUAUCCCCCCGAGGUCUUGAGCAUAUAUCUGACAACUCCAGAGAUAGAGCGUUUCCCUUUGGGGGACAGAGUGACAGGUGGUGCAUGGUUGUCUUCAUGUCGGGUCGUGAGAUGUUGGUUUAAGUCCCGGAACGAGCGCAACCCUUGAUGCUAGUUGCCAGCAUUCAUUUGGGCACUGUAAGGUGACUUCCGGUGACAAACCGGAGGAAGGUGGGGAUGACUUCAAAUCAUCAUGCCCCUUAUGACUUGGGGUACACACGUGCUACAAGGGAUGGAACAAAAGGCUGCAAGACAACGGGGUCAAGCCAAUCCCAUAAAACCGUUGUCAAUUCCGAUCGUAGCUGCAAUUCGCAUGCAUGAAGCGGAAUCGAAGUAAUCGCUGAUCAGCAGUGCGCAGGGCAUC
rnacentral:rRNA from 1 species